GUCUUCCUACUUCAAAUGAUUUAAUUAAGAUAACUCCCUAUUUGCUUUCCUUUUUGCUAUCAAUUUAUAGCAAAAAGUUAGUUGGUAGUGAAAGAUGUAGCCACCUUUUUGGCAAAGGCUAAAAGUGAACAUUUUGAAAGCUUUUUUUAAUUGGUAAAAGAAAAUAGUAAGAGAAUAAUGCCACCAGAGACUUCAGUGGAAAUUGCCCAUUUUGAAGGUGCCAUUCUUAGAAGCCAAGAAUUUGGUAUUUAAAGUUUAUCUUGAGAGAAUAACAUGUAAUAUAAUUUGAAAUAAAGGUAUAGUAACCUUAAGAGCACUGUAGCAAAAGCAUUGGUGAGUGGGGUGAAUUUGUAAAAUGAAUGACUUUGAUAAAGUUUUAUGCACGGGCAAAUGUAUUCAUUAGAUUCUGUGUAGUGAUCUGCUUUCCCUUUGUAAUUUGUAGUCCUAAAAAGAUUAAAAAAAAUAGAUAAAGUCCAUCCUUGAAAAAAAAAUAAAUAAGAUAACUCCCUUACAGGUGUACGCAUAUCCUUAGGUUUUAGUUAAUUCCAAAUGUACUUAAGUUGACCACCAAAAAAUAGCCAACAAACUACUCUUAACUGCUAAGCCAUCUCUCCAACCCUCAUUACAAAAAUGUUUAAGGUUAUAAUAUGCCUCAGCUACUUUUCUCUUCCUGUGGUAAAAUAUCAUAACCAAAGCAACUUAUAUAAAGUAUUUAUUUUGCCUUAAGCUUGCAGAAGGAUGUGUUAGUUAGGUCUUGGUCAACUUAACACAAACAGGGUCAUCUUAAAAGAGGGAAACUUAACUUGAGAAAAUGUCUCCUUCAGAUUGACAUGUAAACAAGCAUGAGGGGUGUUUUAGUUAUGAAUGAUUGAUGUCGGAGGGCCCAGACCACUGUGCCAUGCUGGCAUUUAGUCCUGAGAUGUAUAUAUAAAAAAACAAGUUGAAUAAGCCAUGUGGAGCAUGCCAGUAAAGAGCAUUCAUCCAUGGCCUCUGCUUUAGUUCUUGUCCCAGGUUCCUGCCUGCUUGAGUUCCUGCCUUGGCUUCCUACAUGGGGGACUAUAGUCAAAAGCUAUAAGCCAAAUAAACUCCUUCCUCC
rnacentral:lncRNA from 1 species